rnacentral:rRNA from 1 species
ACGUAGGGUGCGAGCGUUAAUCGGAAUUACUGGGCGUAAAGCGCGCGCAGGCGGCUCUAUAAGACAGAUGUGAAAUCCCCGGGCUUAACCUGGGAACUGCAUUUGUGACUGUAGGACUUGAGUGCGGUAGAGGGGGGUGGAAUUUCACGUGUAGCAGUGAAAUGCGUAGAGAUGUGGAGGAAGACCGGUGGCGAAGGCAGCCCCCUGGGUCGACACUGACGCUCAUGCGCGAAAGCGUGGGGAGCAAACAG